UUUACAAGUGGGAUGCACUGUUGAGCACUACAUCCUGAGGGGGUUUGUUAGCCUUCCCUGUAGCUCAGUUGGUAGAGCAUGGUGUUUGACCUACUGCCUUCCCUGUAGCUCAGUUGGUAGAGCAUGGUGUUUGACCUACUGCCUUCCCUGUAGCUCAGUUGGUAGAGCAUGGUGUUUGACCUACUGCCUUCCCUGUAGCUCAGUUGGUAGAGCAUGGUGUUUGACCUACUGCCUUCCCUGUAGCUCAGUUGGUAGAGCAUGGUGUUUGACCUACUGCCUUCCCUGUAGCUCAGUUGGUAGAGCAUGGUGUUUGACCUACUGCCUUCCCUGUAGCUCAGUUGGUAGAGCAUGGUGUUUGACCUACUGCCUUCCCUGUAGCUCAGUUGGUAGAGCAUGGUGUUUGACCUACUGCCUUCCCUGUAGCUCAGUUGGUAGAGCAUGGUGUUUGACCUACUGCCUUCCCUGUAGCUCAGUUGGUAGAGCAUGGUGUUUGACCUACUGCCUUCCCUGUAGCUCAGUUGGUAGAGCAUGGUGUUUGACCUACUGCCUUCCCUGUAGCUCAGUUGGUAGAGCAUGGUGUUUGACCUACUGCCUUCCCUGUAGCUCAGUUGGUAGAGCAUGGUGUUUGACCUACUGCCUUCCCUGUAGCUCAGUUGGUAGAGCAUGGUGUUUGACCUACUGCCUUCCCUGUAGCUCAGUUGGUAGAGCAUGGUGUUUGACCUACUGCCUUCCCUGUAGCUCAGUUGGUAGAGCAUGGUGUUUGACCUACUGCCUUCCCUGUAGCUCAGUUGGUAGAGCAUGGUGUUUGACCUACUGCCUUCCCUGUAGCUCAGUUGGUAGAGCAUGGUGUUUGACCUACUGCCUUCCCUGUAGCUCAGUUGGUAGAGCAUGGUGUUUGACCUACUGCCUUCCCUGUAGCUCAGUUGGUAGAGCAUGGUGUUUGACCUACUGCCUUCCCUGUAGCUCAGUUGGUAGAGCAUGGUGUUUGACCUACUGCCUUCCAUGUAGCUCAGUUGGUAGAGCAUGGUGUUUGACCUACUGCCUUCCCUGUAGCUCAGUUGGUAGAGCAUGGUGUUUGACCUACUGCCUUCCCUGUAGCUCAGUUGGUAGAGCAUGGGGGANNNNNNNNNNNNNNNNNNNNNNNNNNNNNNNNNNNNNNNNNNNNNNNNNNNNNNNNN
rnacentral:lncRNA from 8 species